AGCGAACGCUGGCGGCAGGCCUAACACAUGCAAGUCGAACGAACUCUUCGGAGUUAGUUGCGGACGGGUGAGUAACACGUGGGAACGUGCCUUUUGGUUCGGAAUAACUCAGGGAAACUUGUGCUAAUACCGAAUGUGCCCUUCGGGGGAAAGAUUUAUCGCCAUUAGAGCGGCCCGCGUCUGAUUAGCUAGUUGGUGAGGUAACGGCUCACCAAGGCGACGAUCAGUAGCUGGUCUGAGAGGAUGACCAGCCACACUGGGACUGAGACACGGCCCAGACUCCUACGGGAGGCAGCAGUGGGGAAUCUUGCGCAAUGGGCGAAAGCCUGACGCAGCCAUGCCGCGUGAAUGAUGAAGGUCUUAGGAUUGUAAAAUUCUUUCACCGGGGACGAUAAUGACGGUACCCGGAGAAGAAGCCCCGGCUAACUUCGU
rnacentral:rRNA from 1 species